rnacentral:rRNA from 1 species
CCUACGGGUGGCAGCAGUGGGGAAUAUUGGGCAAUGGGCGCAAGCCUGACCCAGCAACGCCGCGUGAAGGAAGAAGGCUUUCGGGUCGUAAACUUCUUUUAAGAGGGAAGAGCAGAAGACGGUACCUCUUGAAUAAGCCACGGCUAACUACGUGCCAGCAGCCGGGGUAAUACGUAGGUGGCAAGCGUGGUCCGGAUUUACGGGGUGUAAAGGGCGUGCAGCCGGGAAGACAAGUCAGAUGUGAAAUCCCGGGGCUCAACCGCGGAACUGCAUUUGAAACUGUUUUUCUGGAGUACCGGAGAGGUCAUCGGAAUUCCUGGUGUAGCGGUGAAAUGCGUAGAUAUAAGGAAGAACACCAGUGGCGAAGGCGACUAUCUGGCACAUAACUGACGCUGAGGAGCGAAAGCGUGGGUAGCAAACAGGAUUAGAUACCCGGGUAGUC